ACACUGCUGAGGAGUCCCACAAUAGGAUGAAACUGCCGUCCAGUGU
rfam:Schistosoma mansoni strain Puerto Rico chromosome 6, complete genome